rnacentral:lncRNA from 1 species
GUAUAAUAAUAAUCUAAUGAAUAAUAAUACUAUUUUAUAUAACUAGUAUUUUUUUUAAAAAAAUAAUAUAAAAUAAAAAGGAUUAAAAUUGAAUUUAAUUAAGAAAUUUGGGGGUUAAUUUGCAAAAUAAUGAAAAUUCUGGGCCUGAUUGAAAUGCGCGUUAAAUUCAGAGGACUCACUGGGCAAUUUAGCCCUAAUACCAAAACGACACUGUUUCCCAAAUACCGUUUUAAAAUCACUAUGAGGACUAAAUUGAAACAAAAUUAAAAUGUUAGAGCUAAAUUAAAAAAAUAAAUAAAAUGAAAUUAUAAAUAUUAAAAUUGCGAGAGGACCAAUUGGAAAAUUAACCCAUUUUACAAAAACACGCGGAUCCUCCCCGAGUACAGGUCAACACACAAACCCUAAUGCUUCGAAACAACGCCGUUUUUAGGCUUAUUGAAUUAAACCAAAAUGGCACUGUUUCGUUUAGGCUAUAUAAGUCAAAUUAUAAGUUUAAAAAUCAUUUCUGAAAUCAAUUUUUUUUAAAAAGAAAGAAACUCUCUGAAAGAGAGUUGGGGAGGGGCUCUCGGAGUGUCACCGGACCUCCGUCCAGGGGUUCGCACGCGCUCCCCCGCCCCUUUCGUCUCCGCCGCAUACGGUGGCCGGAGGUUUAAAAACCUCGCCUUCCAACGCCGAUUAAAGGUGUAAUGGGCCAAUUUAGCCCGGGCCCGUAUAAACACAAAACCAAAAAAUAACAAACAAAAUAUAUCAACAGUCCAAUAAAGGUCCAUCAGUCCAAGUUACAUAACCCAACUUUAAAACCAAAAUGAAUCAACCCAUUUACAAUUAAAUCUGAGCCCAAAUGCGAUGGGCCCAAGUGGCCCAAGAUUAGGGCAGAACCCUAGCAGCUUGUGUGCGCCGUAGCAACCAGCAACCCCAGCAUCCUCCUGGAGCCACGCACGCUCCCGUACACACGCUAGAACCACCUCGUACACUUCGAGCCAAGGGCCAGCGCAUGUCCUCUGCUCUGUACCUACGAACAAGACAAACACAGCAACAAACAGAGACAAAAGGGAAAAUAUUGUAUUUUCUUUAUUCAUUUUUUUCGUUUUGGCUAUAAAGCCAGAAAAUUUUCAUUGUAAUGGGUUACGUUCACAGAGAAUACAAACACACAAUACAUACGCAAUAUAGUUUGCUUGAAAAUCAGAGAGUCACUUCUUGAGAAGGUGAUCUUUAUCCCUCGAUUCUAUUUGUUAUUUCCUUCGUUUUUUUGUUUUCUAUCAUUUUACAUUAAAAAAAAACGAAGACUUACCUUUGUGUAUGAGCCAUUGGAAUCUAUCUUUUUCGUCGGCGUCGAAGCUUGGGAAGAUUCCAAGGCUGAAAUCGGCAGACUAUAGGGUUGGAUUCGGAAUAAGGAAGGAAAAAAGGCACUAUCGGAGCGAUAUUCAUCGUUUGAAAGGACGAAACAGAGGCUGAACGGCGCAGAGGAUUAGGGUUUCCCCUCUCCAUUGAUUCAGUCGAAUAGCUCAUCUUUGGGGCCCUUUUAAGCGACUAAAAACGACACCGUUUGAUCCCACUCCAAUGGCUCCAAAACAAUGCCGUGUAUAUAAGACCCGACCGACCUGAUUCCCAACCCCUAUGACCCGCACGUUCUGGCGGAGAGGGGGUAAUUUCUCUAUAGGUCCUCCCUUUUUGUAUGGGCGUUCGAAUGUGGCUUUAUUUAUUUCGUUUUUCUUUUUUAAUUUGUCUUUACAAUUUGCAUGUGGUUGCAAUUUAGUCCGCGUUUUAAUGCUGCAUUGUGAGGACUGGUAUAUUUCCAGUUUAGAUCCUUCUGCAUUAUCGUGCCUCGCGCAUGGGUCCCUUUUUUUUAUUAUUUGCUCCAUUGUCUUAAUUUCCCCCUCUUGUUUUAGUUUAAUUUCGAUUAAGUCCCUUAGUUCGUAGCCCUUUUGUGUGUUCUUAAUUAAUUAUUUUUAAUUUUAAGUCAUGGCUAUUCCAUUGUUAUAAACUGUUCUCUUUUAGCAAUCCUAGCAUCAUGUUUUGUACAUUUCAAAUAUUUG